UACGGAGGGAGCUAGCGUUGUUCGGAAUUACUGGGCGUAAAGCGCGCGUAGGCGGCUUUGUAAGUUAGAGGUGAAAGCCCGGGGCUCAACUCCGGAAUUGCCUUUAAGACUGCAUCGCUAGAAUCCGGGAGAGGUGAGUGGAAUUCCGAGUGUAGAGGUGAAAUUCGUAGAUAUUCGGAAGAACACCAGUGGCGAAGGCGGCUCACUGGCCGGUAUUGACGCUGAGGUGCGAAAGCGUGGGGAGCAAACAGG
rnacentral:rRNA from 1 species